ACGUUAGCGGCGGACGGGUGAGUAACACGUGGGUAACCUACCUAUAAGACUGGGAUAACUUCGGGAAACCGGAGCUAAUACCAGAUAAUAUUUCGAACCGCAUGGUUCGAUAGUGAAAGGUGGUUUUGCUAUCACUUAUAGAUGGACCCGCGCCGUAUUAGCUAGUUGGUAAGGUAACGGCUUACCAAGGCGACGAUACGUAGCCGACCUGAGAGGGUGAUCGGCCACACUGGAACUGAGACACGGUCCAGACUCCUACGGGAGGCAGCAGCG
rnacentral:rRNA from 1 species